rnacentral:rRNA from 1 species
GGACUACCCGGGUUUCUAAUCCCGUUUGCUCCCCUGGCUUUCGUGCCUCAGCGUCAGGAAUUGUCCAGAGACUCGCCUUCGCCACUGGUGUUCCACUUGAUAUCUACGCAUUUCACUGCUACACCAAGUAUUCCAGUCUCCCUUCCAAUCCUCUAGCUGGAUAGUUUCCAACGCAGUUUCCGGGUUAGGCCCGGAGAUUUCACGUCAGACUUACCCAACCGCCUACGCACCCUUUACGCCCAGUAAAUCCGAACAACGCUUGGGACCUCUGUAUUACCGCGGCUGCUGGCAC